GUGUGCAAGAGUGUUUCUGCAUCUCACUCUGGGCUCUUCUUCCUCCACUGCUCCUUUUUUUGGGGUUCCCCACGGUUUUCGGUGGAGAUGGGAAGCAGAGGCCGCAGCAGUGCAGCCCCAGCUGUCACAGAGAGCAGAAUCUCCACAGAGCGCCCGAAGGUUCCAGAAGGUUCCAGAGGGGCAGUUGGGCUGGGAUGGCGGCAAGGCUGCAGCGCUGGGUGCCAAACCAUCGUUUGUUGCUUAGUUUUUAAUUAUUUUUAUAUUUAUGAGGAAAAAUUGCCCUCACACAGUAGCCUCAGUGCUACAGUCAGGAUUCACCUCCACACCGAGCUGCGGGCACAAACCCGCCGGGAACACCACCACCAGGAUGCAAAUCUGAAUAAACUCUGCAAAACACCUGGGGACUCUGAAGCAACCGGUCCAUUCUGGGCACUUCUAUUUCUUCUGUAUAACCAAGCUGUGCAGCAACUUGCAGAACAGAGACCUGGUUUCACACGGACUCUUGGUGAGGGAGAUGAGCCUGCAGACACCAACAAACAGCUGAACACGAUCAAAAGCUACAGGGGACAUGACCGCUGCAGGUUUCCUUUCUGAAUCAAAUACCAGACAUUUGAACCAUUUGUUGUGCAGAAAAGAGAAACAGCUUUUAUUCUUAAUGCUGGGUUCUGAACCACCUGGGUGCUGUCAGAAGGAGCCACAUGCACUGGAAAACACUUUUAAUAAAACUCCUAUAAGCCUGUCUUGAACUCUGGAU
rnacentral:lncRNA from 1 species